rnacentral:rRNA from 1 species
AACGAACGCUGGCGGCAUGCCUAACACAUGCAAGUCGAACGAGACCUUCGGGUCUAGUGGCGCACGGGUGCGUAACGCGUGGGAACCUGCCCUUAGGUUCGGAAUAACUCCCCGAAAGGGGUGCUAAUACCGGAUAAUGUCUUCGGACCAAAGAUUUAUCGCCUUUGGAUGGGCCCGCGUUGGAUUAGCUAGUUGGUAGGGUAAAAGCCUACCAAGGCGACGAUCCAUAGCUGGUCUGAGAGGAUGAUCGGCCACACUGGGACUGAGACACGGCCCAGACUGCUAAGGGAGGCAGGAGUGGGGAAUAUUGGACAAUGGGCGAAAGCCUGAUCAAGCAAUGCCGCGGGAGUGAUGAAGGCCGUAGGGUUGUAAAGCUCUUUUACCCGGGAUGAGAAUGACAGUACCGGGAGAAGAAGCUCCGGCUAACUCCGUG